CUUUUAUUAGGAGUAUUUAUUUUUCUCUUAUAUUUUUAUCAAAAAGGGGUUGGUGGUGUGUUUUUCUUUUCUCUUUUCUAAAGGGAAACAAAAAAGUAAAGAUAUGGUCACAAAAUUAAGGAAUUGCUUUCAUGAUGUUUUUGACAAUCUAUUAUUAAUAUAAAGCUAGGCAAUAGAAAGAUGAGAUGACACCUUUCUUUGGCCAAGAAUCUUGUUUUUUUUUUUUUCAUUUUUUGUAUUUUUCUUAAUCAUUUUACUCUAAAAAGUCAUCUCUAUAACUCACCUCUUCAUCUUCAUAACUUCCACUCUUAAUUGAUUAAUAAUAUUCAUAAAUAUAGAAAAAGGUUACCUUAUUUUUCCUCUUAUAUUUUCCUUUUAAAAUAUUUGCUGAAACAAAUUAAGUCAGUCUAUCAAAAAAACUGAAAUCUAAAUUAAGAGGGCGUCAAAGAUGAAAAGACAUGACUAUCAUUCCAAGUGCUUUAAUUUCCAAGGAACAGUUACACCUGUAAAAAUGCUUUAGAGAAAUAAAUUAUAGUAGUAUAUAAAUAUAGAAAUGAGAAUAAUCCUACCUUGAAGCACAUAUCCGUUAGAAGGUCGCUGCAAUGUGGAAUGCCCCCUUUCCACAUCGUGGCAGUAUUGACAUAAAGCCAAAGAUUCUGCUAAUCAUGAUAUUAGUUAGCAUUGAGUCACAAAACCAUACAUAGAUUUUAUUUAGACCAUGCUGCAAAAAGAAAUUCUCAGUUAUUUCAAUUCAUAUCUUAUCCAUUUUACUCAUUAUACUUUAUUUGGGUUUCAGUGAAUUGUGCAAUAUAGAUGAUGAUAUCAGAUUUUAUGUUGCUCGGACUCUUCAAAAAAAUAAUUACCGGAUGCGUGUUGAUUCCUCUAAAUUGUUGGAAGAUGUGAUACGCAUCCGGCGACUUUUUUGAAAGUUCGAGCAACAUAGAUCCUCAUUCUUUGGUUCAGCAGAGUUGGUCUAGAGUCUCUAGAUAGAGUUGGUCUGUGCUUGCGAAUCACUCGGCAGGAAAAUUUCUAGGAGUACGGAGGACACUGCCGCAAGAAAGUCCAUUUAUCUUAGCUUGAGGUUUUGAAGCCACGAUUCAAUAUUUGGUUCAUCAAGUUGCCUCUUAUCGUCUUCCACACUCUAAAGAUGAGAGCAUAAAGCGAUUGCAUUUACUUUGAGAAGAAAGGAAUUGCAAAAAUGAGCUGUGAAGGAGCUGAGGAAGAUUCAAUUCCCAAAAUUCCCAUUUUUUGGAGGGAUUGCUAUUGGUUUGUAAGCUUAAGAGCUGAAAUUCGACUUACUUGUGAUUGUUGUUUUAUUGUAUUGAGUUCAUCGGGGGUGACAUGGGAAAUUAGAACUCCGUUGGGAAUUCCGAGGCUUCGGGUGGAUUCGUAGGGCGUUUUUAUGCGUAUGUACAUGUUUGUUUUGUGUUUUUGAGGCCUCAGAUAAAAUGUUGGGUGAGGGGGGGAAAAACUGGACAAAAGUCGGCUCACUGGCCAAAAUGGACCGCUGCGGCGAUACUGCUAUAGCGGCGGCUUGACCGCUGCCAGCGGCCAUCCACGCCCUCGGUGGCCGUUGUGGCGGGCGGUGGACCACUAUGGCGGCACCGCUAUAGCGGUGGACAGACCGCCAUAGUGGCUAGGCGGAUUCCUUUGGGACCGCUAUAGCGGUCACUUGACCACUAUAGCAGGACCGCUGUAGCGGCGUUAUGAUCGUUGCAGCGGUCGACGGAAAACAGUGGCCCGGGAUUUUUAUAUUUAGUCUCAGAUUCUCUAUUUACAAAACACCAACACACUUCCCAACAAGCACGUAGGGUGAAAUUCCAAGCUAGGGCAAGAAACUCUUGAGAGAUUAGUCCCAUCUAUUCCAUUCUCCCUCAUGAUUAGUAUCCCCUUCGUGGGUCUUUAAUGGUGAAAGUGAAAUAGAAACCCUAUAAUAUUAAUAAACCUUCUAAACUUGACGGGUUAUGGUUAUUAUCACCUAGUUAUCAUCUAAAGGCUUGGGUUAGUUCUCUUAAUCAUGAAUUGCACACUUAGAGUCAUAAACUAAAUGAAUGGAGACAUAGGGUUCUACAAAAAUGGUAUUUUGACUAUAAGAACUGCUUGUAAUGGGGAUAUUGAUAGAAUAUUGUUUGUAUUUGAUGAGUAAUGAUUACUAAGGCCUUUGGUUGGUUUCUUAACACCUACAAAAUCAUCCACCCCUUGUAAUGAGGUAAAGAGAAGGGGAUUCUUGUAUUGAUGCUUGUGAUUUGAGUAAUUAUGACUCAUUAAGCCUUCUAUUUCUAGACUUUGAGCGCUCUGAGGCUUUAAGGAAGGGAAAGGUUGUAACGGAGUGACUUGCGUUGUCCUAACUCUAUAUUGAGGUAGGUUACGGUCUACUUGAGUUAGACUUUGGUUAGUUGAUUGUAUGUUUGUGAAUUCUUUAGAAGAAAGCAUGUCUUGUUUUCAUGCAUGAUAUUGUAUGACUGAACUCCUAUGUGAUUGUGAAUGAUUGAUUGUGUGGGCUUCGUGCCACUAUUCCUGUGUGUUGAUUCUGCAGUGAAUGUAUUGUGAUGAGAAGCUAAUAUGAUCUUUUCUACGGUAUUGUGACAUGGAAUGAUGAUUUGAGUAUUGAUAUUGAGAAGGUAAGUAACACUGUUCUGUAAGAGGUAUGGAAAGUCACUUAUGUGACCUAGAUUAUGGGCUCGUGGUCCGAGGUUAGUUCCGAAAUUGAGAGGUACAUUAAUAUGUCCCCCGUCCGAGGUUCGUUCCGGAGCGGAGGUUUGUGCUAGGGUCCGAGGAGUGUUCUGGAAUGAGUGGUACAUGAACACCAUAGGUCCCCUGUAGGUCAUGACUACUGAGCAAUGACAUCAGUUAGUAUGUGUGUACAUUGAGUGUGGUCAUUAUGGUAACUUAUCUCCGUUGUGGCUUACGUGAUUGUGAUUAUCCUGGGUUGACUUGCUAUGGUUUAUUGAUAUUCAUGUCUGUUGACUGAUUUGUUUAUUCUAUUGAUUUUAUGAAAUAUGCAUGAUAUUAAUCUUAGUCGGCCUAUGAUAUCUACCGGUACAUAGUGUUUGUACUGAGACUACCUUGCUGCAAUCUUUUGAGUGCAGAUUGUGAUACAUAGACUGCUACCCGUCCCUACAUCUAGCGUGGAGGACGUUUGCUGAUAGAUUUAGGGAUUUAGUUGGGUGCCAGUCAUGGCAGGUUGGGUCAUGACAGAGUUAGUAUCAGAGCUUUAGGUUCGUCGAUCUCAUCGUACAAGGACAUGUACAGUAGAGUCUUGCGGAUCGGUAUGGAGACGUCUGUACUUAUCUUUGAGAGGCUGUCGGACACUAGAAAAACUCCCUUUUCUUUCUUUCUUUCGUGCAACUUGAUUUCAAUUGGUAUCUGCUGAUUCAAAAUGGUAUCUGACUAUCCUUCAUUCUCUCGCAGAUGGCGAGAACACGCACGGCAGCAGCUAGAGCUAGAGGUGGAGGCAGAGAAGUUGGCAGAGGGGCGGCCCUAGCUGGGGGCGGCGUCCCAGUGGUUGACCCCAUGCCUCCACUGGUUCCUAACGAGGCAGCGGGUAGAGAAGAAGGCCCAUAGGGGGUGUGAUGUUCAGCAAUUCCUUCUAGAGGGGUCAGAGUUCACUGAUGUGGCGUGAUUUUACGCCACAAUCGAUGCUUUUUAACUAUAAGUUUUACUUGUUUUUAAGCAAGUCUAUGUUAUUUUACGUGGUUUUUAGUAUGUUUCAGGUAAUACGGGGUCUCUAGAGCCAAAGUGUGGAAAACAAGCAAAAAAACUGCAAAACUGGAAACAACUGGAGGUUCUGGAAAUUAUUGGCGAAAUAUUGCUCUGCGCGUUCGCGCAUGAAUAUCACGCGUUCGCGGUCACGCGCGUCGUGACUCUGCGCGAACGCUCAGUGAACACACGCGUUCGCGCUGAAGUAAGGCGAGUGGAGCUGACGUCAUCCACGCGAUCGCGCAGAAACAUGGCGCGAUCGCGUUGAAGGAAUUUCGGGCCAGACCGAACAGAACUCGGAUUUUUACGAUUUUUGAUAUUCUAGUUCCUAUAAAUAGAAAACUAGGGCAAAACAUUAGAUAUCUUUGGCAGCUUUCACAAGUUGGAGGCUAGGGUUCCUACAUAAAUGUUCUCUCUUCUAUUUAAUCCUUGUUGAUGGAAAUCUCUUGGUGACAAUUAAGAUUGACACUCUUGUUGUGCUUAUUUAUUCAUUUGCAUUAUUCUUAAUCAAGUAAGUUUUUGCUAUUUUAAUUAUUCUUGUUCUUGAAUGUUUUCAAUGGAUUAGCUAACCCUUGAACUCGCCCAUUUACUUUGUUUGAAACUCGGAAGAGGAAGAACGGAGUUGGGAUAGAAUAAUUAACAUGAAUUUGGGGCGUUAACCCUCAUCUAAUGGAAAUUGACCUAGGAAUAGGCAAUACCACUUGUAGCCAUAUUCGGGUGUUCUUAAUGCUCCUAAUUGCUUGAGGGAUCUUCAAUUGGGUAGUCUAGUUAAUCUUCGGAAGAAGUUAAUUUAGAGUCAUUAUCCGAGGC